rnacentral:rRNA from 1 species
UACGAAGGGGCUAGCGUUGUUCGGAUUUACUGGGCGUAAAGCGCACGUAGGCGGAUCGUUAAGUCGGGGGUGAAAUCCUGGAGCUCAACUCCAGAACUGCCUUCGAUACUGGCGAUCUUGAGUCCGGAAGAGGUGAGUGGAACUCCUAGUGUAGAGGUGGAAUUCGUAGAUAUUAGGAAGAACACCAGUGGCGAAGGCGGCUCACUGGUCCGGUACUGACG